rnacentral:tRNA from 1 species
CGGGACGUGGCGCAGCCCGGUAGCGCACCUGAAUGGGGUUCAGGGGGUCGCGAGUUCAAAUCUCGCCGUCCCGA